rnacentral:rRNA from 1 species
UACAGAGGGUCCCCGAGCGUUUGUUCGGGAUUCACUGGGCGUAAAGGGGUGCGUAGGUGGCAGGGGUAAGUCGGAUGUGAAAGCUCGGAGCUCAACUCCGAAAUGGCAUUGGAAACUACCCCAGCUCGAGGGGUUGGAGGGGGGACUGGAUUCAUGGUGUAGCAGUGAAAUGCGUAGAGAUCAUGAGGAGACCAGUGGCGAAGG